UACGAAGGGGGCUAGCGUUGCUCGGAAUCACUGGGCGUAAAGCGCACGUAGGCGGACUCUUAAGUCGGUGGUGAAAUCCUGGAGCUCAACUCCAGAACUGCCUUCGAUACUGAGAGUCUUGAGUAUGGGAGAGGUGAGUGGAACUGCGAGUGUAGAGGUGAAAUUCGUAGAUAUUCGCAAGAACACCAGUGGCGAAGGCGGCUCACUGGCCCAUUACUGACGCUGAGGCACGAAAGCGUGGGGAGCAAACAGG
rnacentral:rRNA from 1 species